AACGCACAUUGCGCCCGCUAGUAUUCUGGCGGGCAUGCCUGUUCGAGCGUCAUUUCAACCAUCAAGCGCCUGCGCUUGUGUUGGAGCCCUGCGGCUGCCGCAGGCUCCCAAACCCAGUGGCGGGCUCGUCGUCGUACCGAGUGCAGUAAACUUACCACGCUCAGGGCACGCGACGGGUAACCGGCCGUAAAACACCCCCCUUCUCAAGGUUGACCUCGGAUCAGGUAGGAAUACCCGCUGAACUUAA
rnacentral:misc_RNA from 1 species